rnacentral:rRNA from 1 species
GACGAACGCUGGCGGCGUGCUUAACACAUGCAAGUCGAGCGGUAAGUCCCCUUCGGGGGUACACGAGCGGCGAACGGGUGUGUAACACGUCCGCAAUCUGCCCAUCACAUCGGGAUAAUUCCGGGAAACCGAAGCUAAUACCGAAUACGACCACCUCCGGCCUCGGUUGGUGGCGGAAAGUUCCGGCGGUGCUGGGUGAGCUCGCGGCCUAUCAGCUUGUUGGUGGGGUAACGGACCACAAAGGCUUCGACGGGUAGACGGCCUGAGAGGGUGACCGGCCACGCUGGGACUGAGAAACGGCACAGACUCCAACGGGAGGCAGAAGUGGAGAAUGUUGGACAAUGGGCGAAAGCAUGAUCCAGCAACGCCGCGUGAGGGAUGACAGCCUUCGGGUUGUAAACCUCUUUCAGCAGGGACGAAGCGCAAGUGACGGUACCUGCAGAAGAAGCACCGGCCAACUACGUG